rnacentral:rRNA from 1 species
GACGAACGCUGGCGGCGUGCCUAAUACAUGCAAGUAGAACGCUGAAGAGAGGAGCUUGCUCUUCUUGGAUGAGUUGCGAACGGGUGAGUAACGCGUAGGUAACCUGCCUUGUAGCGGGGGAUAACUAUUGGAAACGAUAGCUAAUACCGCAUAACAAUGGAUGACACAUGUCAUUUAUUUGAAAGGGGCAAUUGCUCCACUACAAGAUGGACCUGCGUUGUAUUAGCUAGUAGGUGAGGUAAUGGCUCACCUAGGCGACGAUACAUAGCCGUCCUGAGAGGGUGAUCGGCCACACUGGGACUGAGACACGGCCCAGACUCCUACGGGAGGCAGCAGUAGGGAAGCUUCGGCAAUGGGGGCAACCCUGACCGAGCAACGCCGCGUGAGUGAAGAAGGUUUUCGGAUCGUAAAGCUCUGUUGUAAGUCAAGAACGGGUGUGAGAGUGGAAAGUUCACACUGUGACGGUAGCUUACCAGAAAGGGACGGCUAACUACGUG